UACGGAGGGUGCAAGCGUUAUCCGGAUUCACUGGGUUUAAAGGGUGCGUAGGCGGCUAUAUAAGUCAGUGGUGAAAGCUCGCAGCUUAACUGUGAAACUGCCAUUGAAACUGUAUGGCUUGAGUACGAUUGAUGUGGGCGGAAUACAUCAUGUAGCGGUGAAAUGCUUAGAUAUGAUGUAGAACACCGAUUGCGAAGGCAGCUCACAAAGUCGCAACUGACGCUGAGGCACGAAAGCGUGGGGAGCAAACAGG
rnacentral:rRNA from 1 species